rnacentral:rRNA from 1 species
CCAAUAGCGUAUAUUAAAGUUGUUGCAGUUAAAAAGCUCGUAGUUGAACUUCGGGAUUUGCUCAUUGGUCAGGCUUCAUUGUCUGUACUGGUGUAACGAAUUCCUACCUUCUGAUGAAUCUUCAUGCCAUUCACUUGGUGCGGAGGGGAAUCAGGACUGUUACUUUGAAAAAAUUAGAGUGUUUAAAGCAGGCUAUUGCUCGAAUACAUUAGCAUGGAAUACUAGAAUAGGACGGUUGGUUCUAUUUUGUUGGUUUCUAGGAUCACCGUAAUGAUUAAUAGGGAUAGUUGGGGGCAUUAGUAUUCAAUUGUCAGAGGUGAAAUUCUUGGAUUUAUUGAAGACUAACUACUGCGAAAGCAUUUGCCAAGGAUGUUUUCAUUAAUCAAGAACGAAAGUUAGGGGAUCGAAGACGAUCAGAUACCGUCGUAGUCUUAACCAUAAACUAUGCCGACUAGGGAUCGGACGAAGUUAAUUUUUAAAUGACUCGUUCGGCACCUUACG